rnacentral:rRNA from 1 species
GUGGGGAAUUUUGGACAAUGGGCGCAAGCCUGAUCCAGCAAUGCCGCGUGCAGGAAGAAGGCGCUACGCGUUGUAAACUGCUUUUAACCGGGAAGAAACCCCAGGACGUGUCCUGGGUUGACGGUACCGGAGGAAUAAGCACCGGCUAACUUCGUGCCAGCAGCCGCGGUAAUACGAAGGGUGCAAGCGUUAUCCGGAUUCAUUGGGUUUAAAGGGUGCGUAGGCGGAGCGUUAAGUCAGUGGUGAAAUCCUGCAGCUUAACUGUAGACUUGCCAUUGAUACUGGCGCUCUUGAGUGCGCUUGAAGUGGGCGGAAUGUGCCGUGUAGCGGUGAAAUGCUUAGAUAUGGCACAGAACACCAAUUGCGAAGGCAGCUCACUAAGGCGAUACUGACGCUGAGGCACGAAAGCGUGGGGAUCGAACAGGAUUAGAUACCCGUGUAGUCC